rnacentral:rRNA from 1 species
CUACGGAACUCCUACGGGAGGCAGCAGUGGGGAAUAUUGCACAAUGGGCGAAAGCCUGAUGCAGCGACGCCGCGUGAGGGAUGACGGCCUUCGGGUUGUAAACCUCUUUCGGUAGGGACGAAGCGCAAGUGACGGUACCUGCAGAAGAAGCACCGGCUAACUACGUGCCAGCAGCCGCGGUAAUACGUAGGGUGCGAGCGUUGUCCGGAAUUACUGGGCGUAAAGAGCUCGUAGGCGGUUUGUCACGUCGUCUGUGAAAUCCCUCGGCUUAACCGGGGGCGUGCAGGCGAUACGGGCAGACUUGAGUACUACAGGGGAGACUGGAAUUCCUGGUGUAGCGGUGAAAUGCGCAGAUAUCAGGAGGAACACCGGUGGCGAAGGCGGGUCUCUGGGUAGUAACUGACGCUGAGGAGCGAAAGCAUGGGUAGCGAACAGGAUUAGAUACCCCUGUAGUCCUCUUCGA